ensembl:lncRNA
CACAUCAUCCCAACAAAAGGAUGCCUUCAGUGACCCGCUGGAGCCCUCUAGAGUUUAGAUCCAGUCUGACUCCAGAUGGAGGCCAGGAAAUGAAAGAGGAAGUCUGGUUGCAUGGAUGUUGGUCUCCAUGGAUACACCACAACAAAUCAGCACCGAGGCAGAGAUUUAGCAGAAGCGACGGAGGCGUAUUUUUAAACUGUUUAGAGUUCAGUUUCCGAGUUCUCUGAGGUUGUUAAUCCUGACUGAGCGGAGGCCAUGUACAGAGUUUCCUCGUCGGUUAAAGUGAAGCAGAUGGAGGCAGAGCUGUCGCAUCAACUCGCAGCUCUCAGGGCGGAAAUCGAGGAGAAUGGGUUUCCACGAGGAGCAGGGACGGCCAACUCUUACAGCUCUGUUCCACCUCCCAAAGAUGUUUCCUUCUUUCGUCUGGAGAGGGAACAUGCACUGAGGAGGGAGCUGCAGGUGGCUGAAGCUUCGCGGGUUCAGUCUGCGGCUGACGUCAUGCAGGAAGAGCUGCAGAGCUGCUGGAGUUUAGAAUACAGUCCUGAAAAUCUGCUGCUUCUGCUGCACCAGUUCUUCAUGGACAGAUCGUAUCACCUGGCUCAGAUCAAAUAUCAACUCAUGCUGAGAUGGAGGAGAUUCUGUCGCCACACCGGCGUCAUCGAGAAGCUUUAUCCUCAUUACAAGGUGAAACCCAGACGAGAUCCAUGGCAGCAGAAGCUCCUCACACAGCUGAAGGAAAAGAAAUCAGCCGAUGAGCUGCUGAAGAUGCACAGCAGGUUUCUACAGGUCUCUGAUCUGCUUCAUGUAGCUGCAGCUUUAAAACAACAAGCAGCUCAUGUUGGAGACUCACAAUCAUCAUCACACAACAGCAGGACAAAACAUGAAAAGAUCUCUGAGAUCUGGACGAGCGUUUACAGUGCUGCCAGUCUUUCUCCCGCAGCGUAACAGACAAAAGCCGCGAUUCCACAAGCAUCUACUCGGCGCGGUACGGUUCGCCACUAUUGUAUCUGACUCGGCUCGUCUCGGUUUAGUUGUUUUUCCAUAUAGCCUCAUCGUGGGU